CACUUAUAUUGUGAGUGCUGGAUCUGAGGCGUGCUAGGUCUCCCAGCACCGCUUUGAGAUCUCAAAUAAACUUUGCUUGCUUCUCCACCCUGGUGUGUUUACUGGCGCUAAGCACUCUGGGCACGAACCACCGUUGCUUGCCUUGGGCACCCUCUGUGCCUGCAACAAUUCUAGACAA